GAGAUCUACUCUCAAAAACAGAACCAGUCAGUCGAGUUGCCUUCCUGCCGAAUAUGCGCAUUUCAUUUCAGUAAAUCCGUGAGGGCGGGUAGUUAAGGGCUGUUUUCUAUGUUUGAGAAAAGGGCAAAAGGGCAAAAGCAGCUCAGUCUCAUUCUCCGGCUCUCUCUCUGUGCAACAGACUCGUCAGCGACAUCGACUCAAAAUGAAGGUGAACAGCACGUGGCUCAAACGGGUGUUUCCAGGCGUUUGGACUCAUCAAAUGCAUCCCUGGUUGGAGUAUGAUGCAGAGGUGUGAAGAAGCUGGGGAUGAUGAGGUGUGAUCACACUGACUGAAUUCACUCUUCGUUCACGACAUUCAAUAAGAUGGUCUCGUGUUUGUGCAUCUGGUCUGAACGCUCUAGUAUGAGCUACUGAAACCUCUCUGGCUACAGAAUGCUAUGACAUGUGACUUCUCCGCCGACUAAACUUCCAGCCUUGUUGAUCUAAUGGGAUCUUGGGCAGUUGGGUGCAGAAGAUGUCACACAAACAAUGUUCUGAUCGCUCUCUGAGAUCCGACUGAACGGCCAAGACGAGGUUGACUGAGGAAAAGGCUGCAUCUCUUGGGCUGACCUUGAAAGCAGAUGUAAUGUCCUCUGGCCCUCAGACAGCCUGAUGUUUUACUCUAAAGAUUCUGUGGUAUUAUGGCGACCGGAGUUUGACCUGCAGACAAUUUAAUAUCUCUUGGCAAAUGUGUUUUCAACAUUGUUGCAAUAAAAUACUCAAAACGAAA